UGCGUAGGUGGCAGUGCAAGUCAGAUGUGAAAACUAUGGGCUCAACCUGUAGAUUGCAUUUGAAACUGUUGUUCUUGAGUGAAGUAGAGGUAAGCGGAAUUCCUAGUGUAGCGGUGAAAUGCGUAGAUAUUAGGAGGAACAUCGGUGGCGAAGGCGGCUUACUGGGCUUUUACUGACGCUGAGGCUCGAAAGCGUGGGAGCAAACA
rnacentral:rRNA from 1 species